rnacentral:rRNA from 1 species
UACGAAGGGUGCAAGCGUUACUCGGAAUUACUGGGCGUAAAGCGUGCGUAGGUGGUUCGUUAAGUCUGAUGUGAAAGCCCUGGGCUCAACCUGGGAAUUGCAUUGGAUACUGGCGGGCUAGAGUGCGGUAGAGGAUGGCGGAAUUCCCGGUGUAGCGGUGAAAUGCGUAGAGAUCGGGAGGAACAUCUGUGGCGAAGGCGGCCAUCUGGACCAGCACUGACUAUGAGGCGCGAAAGCGUGGGGAGCAAACAGG